CACAUGGUGGGUCUAUGUGUUCUCCAAUCCAAUUUUGAGAUUAAGAACAGAAGAAUGAAAUAACAGUUAACCAGUUUUAACAUAUAAUGGAUUCCAUGAGAUUGGAGAAUUCAUUUUACAAUCCUGGCAAUACUGCAUAAAGGUUUUAUGUCUUGGGCCCUUGUUAUCUUCAGGGCCAUCUUCUUCAAUAUAAUCUGCCCAGCCAACACGACAUAGUUGGAAGUCAAUGCUGCAGAUGCCCAUUUCCAGAGAGAUCAGGCCGAAUGGACAAGAACAUUCUCAGUUCUCCUCCUGCAUUUGGAAUUCCCAAAGUUAUUUUUUAGACUUCUUCCUUAGGUCAUUCAGGGAUUAAUAGUUUAAUUUAAGAAAUCAAUAUUUAUUGUUGAUUUUAAUAUAUACAUGCUGCAGGCUACCUAGAAUAGAUACCAUAUAAAUAUAUACUGUAAUAAUGUAAUGUAUAUGUUCAUAAAAUAAACUUAGCCAAAUGUACAUUUGGUUGAUCUUUCAUAGCUCGAUUUUUUUUUUAGUUCAGGUUUUUGGUGUGCUUUUAUAUGAUAUACAUAUAACUAUAUAUAUCGUAUAAUUAGAUAUAAUAUGUAGAUAUAGAUAUAUAGAUAUGCAUAUACAUAUCAUACUAGAAAACUGGAAUCUAUAAAUAACACCUAAAAUAAAAGGGAAAUUUAGCUCUAAUGUGCAAAACAAAGAAUAAGACAGACAAAUAUAGAAGUCUGCCAAGAAAUUCACUGUUUAUAGUAAACACCUUCUUCUAACAAUCUUGAAAAAAAUAUUUAUGGAUGUUGAUAGAUGUACAAUACUGAAAUCAAAGUGUGUUUAUAUGUAUGUGUAUUCUCAGUAACUAACCUUGCAAAAAUUACAAAUAAAAUACGCAGACAAAAAAACAUCAUUUCAGUAACAUCUCACAUGAUUGGGCAGUGAAAAUAAAGGACAGCUUCAAUGGAAUUAAUUCAAUAAACAGAGUAUUCAGAGAAGCCUGGAGUAAAAUUUGGACAUCAUUAAAGAAAAUGCAAAAAAAAACCCAUUUCCAGAGGCAAAAAGCAAAUGAAGGCAAAAUGGCUGUCUACUGACAUGUUGGUAAUAGGAGAAGAAAGACAGAAAAGAUACAGCAACAGAGACAGAGAAGAACGUGCCUAACUCAAUACUAAAUUCUAGAGUAAAACAUCUAAAUAAGUGAUUCAAAGAAGUUAAGGAAGACACUAAAUGGGAAACAUCAAAUAUUUAUUUAAGAAAAUUACAGAAGCAUGAAAAAUAAAUUACAUAAUAAAAACAAAAUAAAGUAAAUAUCAUCUAAGAAAAAAAUGUAUAAAGAGACAGCAUGGUAGAAGGACUGCAUAAAAAUGAUCCCCAAACUGAAGAUACAUACAAAGAUUGGUCACUGGAUUAGAAUUAGACAUUCUAAAAAGUGGCAUUAAAUUAAUUCUAGGAAAUUUUAUUAAUAACAAAACUGCAAAACUUAAUGAAGUACUGGCAGAACUGCUUAAAUUCACAAAAGAUUAUGCUCUUAAAAUGCUUAAUGUUUUUGUAAGCAGAUAAGGAAAACUGAGCAUUGACCAAGGGACUCGAAGUAAUCAAUUUAUAUUCCAGUAUCCCCAGGGGGAAAAGGCAAUGCAAAGAAUAUCCAGAUUAUCAAAUAACUGACUUAGUUCAUUUUCUAGUAAGAUAAUUGCUCAAAUGUUGCAGUUCAGACUUCAUUAAUACAUAGAAUGAAACUCCUAGUUAUGAGAUUCAGAAGAGGCAGGAGCACCCAAGAUCACAUUGCUAAUAACUGAUGAGUAUUUUAAAAGGUAAGGGAGUUCCAGAAAGAUGUCUUAUUUUGGUCUAUUUAUUAUAAAUCCUUUUAAAAAAAAUAUACAUUAUUGGCUGGACAACUCUGAAAUCAGAAUAAAUCCCUUCUGAAAACAAGAACUGAGAUUUUUUAUUCACUUAGCAAAAACAAGUCCUAGGACUGUCUGCAGUUCAAAUCUUCUUGAGAAACAUGUUUUAAUGCAUACAUUUAUUUUCCUAUAAUAUUGUAAUUUGAGCAUACCCCUCAGCAAAGAUAAGAGUAUCAUUCUAUUAUCCCCUUUAGUUUACUACAGUAAACAAGGCAUUCUUAUCGGCAAAGCCUUUGUAGACCAAUUAAAAUGGCCUUUGCUCUAGCUUCUGUCUUUAUCAUCAUCAACUAGGGAAGGAGA